CCUUGCCUCUGAUACCCAUGCAUCUGGAAAGAUAGCUGUGCUGCACCAGAAACAAAACGGUGGCAGCAGUUGGUUGGAGAACAAGGUGGGACGGGGCAGUCGAGGCAGCAGGCUGGUAUCACGGGUCCUUGUCUUGCUGAGAAGAGUCUUAGAAGAUACUCUGAUGCUCACCUCAUGACAGGACAUCAUCAGGGGAGCCAGCACGUAGUUAAGACCCUGCGGUUCUUGUUCUGGAGUUUACACCGCAUCGGAGGAGACAGGAGGACCCCACCCAGGAGGAGAGAAGGUUGGGAGUGGGGGUCCCGGACCUGUGGGGCAGAAGACAAGAGGAAGCUCUUGCUCCCCAAGCAUCACCCCUAUUUCUAGCCCACGUAUGUAUCCUAUGCCUUCCUUCCAAGUUUCUGUACAGAAGCGAGAGAUGUCUUGGGCCCUCUGGAUGCACUGAGACAUUGGAGAAAACAGAUCCAAGAGGUGAGCUUGAAGAGCAGAAAGGGGCUAGGAGGAGUUUGUCUGGGAAAGAACAGACUUAAUUGGCACUAGAGCGCUCCCCUUAUAGAAGCACAGGGAUCUUUGGCUUUAAGAACUAGGGAAGCCUGAUGGGUAGGGCCAGAUUUUUCCAGGCUGGCCACCUCCAGGGGAGCUCACUGAUGAUUAUUCCCUGGGACCUCUGCCUCUGACGUCCUGCCCCCCGCAGUGAGCCACUGCCAAGCCCUGCUUUUCCAGGAUAUCAUCCAAGAUCUAUAGGAUAUUACUCCUUUUAGCUGGCAUUCUGGAAGAGCAUAUCAAAUCCAGAAAAGCCAGGCUCUUUGUUCCUGUCCACAACAACAUGCCCUCUGGAAUAAACAACACAAAGAAAUGGAAGAUGGAGUUUGG
rnacentral:lncRNA from 1 species